GAGGUUAUAGCUCAGUGGUAGAGCACAUGCUUAGCAUGCAUGAGGUCCUGGGUUCCACCCCAAGUACCUCCA
rnacentral:tRNA from 1 species